GACGAACGCUGGCGGCGUGCUUAACACAUGCAAGUCGAACGGAAAGGCCCUGCUUUUGUGGGGUGCUCGAGUGGCGAACGGGUGAGUAACACGUGAGUAACCUGCCCUUGACUUUGGGAUAACUUCAGGAAACUGGUGCUAAUACCGGAUAGGAGCUCCUGCUGCAUGGUGGGGGUUGGAAAGUUUCGGCGGUUGGGGAUGGACUCGCGGCUUAUCAGCUUGUUGGUGGGGUAGUGGCUUACCAAGGCUUUGGCGGGUAGCCGGCCUGAGAGGGUGACCGGCGACAUUGGGACUGAGAUACGGCCCAGACUCCUACGGGAGGCAGAAGUGGGGAAUAUUGCACAAUGGGCGGAAGCCUGAUGCAGAAACGCCGCGUGUGGGAUGACGGCCUUCGGGUGGUAAACCGCUUUAGCCUGUGACGAAGCGUGAGUGACGGUAAUGGGUAAAGAAGCACCGGCUAACUACGUG
rnacentral:rRNA from 1 species